GUUGCUUCUCGGCCUUUUGGCUAAGAUCAAGUGUAGAAUCUCCUAGCAUCUAUCUUAGCAUUCCAUUAGACACUCAUUGAGGGCAAGCUUCUCUGGAAGUCCUCUGAUGCCUAGUAGGACAUUUUGCUAUGUUGCUCAAUCUAUGUUUAUUGUAUUACAUUUCUACACAUCUUUAAAAAAAUUUUU